AGAAUUACUUGCAGGAGUAACCUAGUGCCUAUAGCUAUGGCAGGUACCUGCAUCCUUGUUUUUGUUUAGUGGAUCCUCUAUCCUUCAGAGACUCUGGAACCCCUGUGCUCUUCUCCUCAUCUAGUGACCCUGAGGUGAUGGAGUUUUCAAGUCCUUCCAGAGAGGAAUGUCCCAAGCCUUCGGGUAGGGUGCCUUCAGCCGCUACAAGAGCAGAAGCAGUGGGCAUUGGAUGGAGCUGAGUACAGGACCAUACAGGCUAAUUGCACCGGCACAGGCCUGCUACUGAUCCUGCAGCCAGAAGUUCCAGAAAGUGAAGGGAUUUGGAGGGGCCGUGACAGAUGCAGGUGCCCUCAACAUCCUUGCCCUGUCACCCCCUGCCCAGAAUUUGCUACUUAAAUGGUACUUCUCUGAAGAAGAUGAGGAGGAAGGGGACAGGAUGACAUAGAGCCACUGACACUUUUCUUUGCCAAUUCUUUGGACCCUGACUUCUGCCCAUCCCUGACAUUUGGUUCCUGUCUUAAUGCCAGUGAAAUAAGAUUUCGCCGCCUAUCAUCUGCUAACUGCUACGGACUCAGGCUCAGAAAGGCCUGCGCUUCACCCAGGUGCCAGCCUCCACAGGUUCCAACCCAGGAGCCCAAGUUCCUUUUGGCCCUGACUCAGACACUAUUAGGACUGGCAAGUGAUAAGCAGAGUCCCAUACUCUCCUAUUGACUCGGACUACCAUAUCUUGAUCAUCCUUUUCUGUAGGAAUCGGAUAUAACAUCAUCUGGGUACCCAUGGCCAGCUGUGACUUCUCCAUCCGCACCUACACCUAUGCAGACACCCCUGAUGAUUUCCAGUUGCACAACUUCAGCCUCCCAGAGGAAGAUACCAAGCUCAAGAUACCCCUGAUUCACCGAGCCCUGCAGUUGGCCCAGCGUCCCGUUUCACUCCUUGCCAGCCCCUGGACAUCACCCACUCGGCUCAAGACCAGGGGAGCGGGGAAUGGGAAGGGGCCACUCAAGGGACAGCCCAGAGACAUCUACCACCAGACCUGGGCCAGAUACAUUGUGAAGUUCCUGGAUGCCUAUGCUGAGCACAAGUUACAGUUCUGGGCAGUGACAGCUGAAAAUGAGCCUUCUGCUGGGCUGUUGAGUGGAUACCCCUUCCAGUGCCUGGGCUUCACCCCUGAACAUCAGCGAGACUUCAUUGCCCGUGACCUAGGUCCUACCCUUGCCAACGGUACUCACCACAAUGUCCGCCUACUCAUGCUGGAUGACCAACGCUUGCUGCUGCCCCACUGGGCAAAGGUGGUACUGACAGACCCAGAAGCAGCUAAAGGCCUGUGUGGGUUCCAAGUUCUGGGAGCAGAGUGUGCGGCUAGGCUCCUGGGAUCGAGGGAUGCAGUACAGCCACAGCAUCAUCACAAACCUCCUGUACCAUGUGGUCGGCUGGACCGACUGGAACCCAUCAUUGUAGACAUCACCAAGCACACGUUUUACAAACAGCCCAUGUUCUACCACCUUGGCCACUUCAGCAAGUUCAUUCCUGAGGGCUCCCAGAGAGUGGGGCUGGUUGCCAGUCAGAAGAACGACCCGGACGCAGUGGCACUGAUGCAUCCCGAUGGCUCUGCUGUUGUGGUCGUGCUAAACCGCUCCUCUAAGGAUGUGCCUCUUACCAUCAAGGAUCCUGCUGUGGGCUUCCUGGAGACAAUCUCACCUGGCUACUCCAUUCACACCUACCUGUGGCGUCGCCAGUGAUGGAGCAGAUACUCAAGGAGGCACUGGGCUCAGCCUGGGCAUUAAAGGGACAGAGUCAGCUCACACGCUGUCUGUGACUAAAGAGGGCACAGCAGGGCCAGUGUGAGCUUACAGCGACGUAAGCCCAGGGGCAAUGGUUUGGGUGACUCACUUUCCCCUCUAGGUGGUGCCAGGGGCUGGAGGCCCCUAGAAAAAGAUCAGUAAGCCCCAGUGUCCCCCCAGCCCCCAUGCUUAUGUGAACAUGCGCUGUGUGCUGCUUGCUUUGGAAACUGGGCCUGGGUCCAGGCCUAGGGUGAGCUCACUGUCCGUACAAACACAAGAUCAGGGCUGAGGGUAAGGAAAAGAAGAGACUAGGAAAGCUGGGCCCAAAACUGGAGACUGUUUGUCUUUCCUGGAGAUGCAGAACUGGGCCCGUGGAGCAGCAGUGUCAGCAUCAGGGCGGAAGCCUUAAAGCAGCAGCGGGUGUGCCCAGGCACCCAGAUGAUUCCUAUGGCACCAGCCAGGAAAAAUGGCAGCUCUUAAAGGAGAAAAUGUUUGAGCCCA
ensembl:lncRNA GBA1LP glucosylceramidase beta 1 like, pseudogene